rnacentral:rRNA from 1 species
CACGGGGGGAGCAAGCGUUGUUCGGAAUCACUGGGCGUAAAGGGCGUGUAGGCGGUCAGGUUAGUGAGAUGUGAAAUGCCCCGGCUCACCCGGGGACCUGCAUCUCAAACUGCCUGGCUUGAGUAUGGGAGAGGAUGAGGGAAUUCCUGGUGUAGCGGUGAAAUGCGCAGAUAUCAGGAGGAACACCGGUGGCGAAGGCGGGUCUCUGGGCCGAUACUGACGCUGAGGAGCGAAAGCGUGGGGAGCGAACAGG